rnacentral:rRNA from 1 species
GACGGAGGAUGCAAGUGUUAUCCGGAAUCACUGGGCGUAAAGCGUCUGUAGGUGGUUUAAUAAGUCAACUGUUAAAUCUUGAGGCUCAACCUCAAAAUCGCAGUCGAAACUAUUAGGCUAGAGUAUAGUAGGGGUAAAGGGAAUUUCCAGUGGAGCGGUGAAAUGCGUAGAGAUCAGGAAGAACACCGGUGGCGAAAGCGCUCUGCUGGACCUUAACUGACACUGAGGGACGAAAGCUAGGGGAGCGAAUGGG